AGUGAACGCUGGCGGUAGGCCUAACACAUGCAAGUCGAACGGCAGCACAGUAAGAGCUUGCUCUUACGGGUGGCGAGUGGCGGGCGGGUGAGGAAUACAUCGGAAUCUACUUUUUCGUGGGGGAUAACGUAGGGAAACUUACGCUAAUACCGCAUACGACCUACGGGCGAAAGCAGGGGAUCUUCGGACCUUGCGCGAUUGAAUGAGCCGAUGUCGGAUUAGCUAGUUGGCGGGGUAAAGGCCCACCAAGGCGACGAUCCGUAGCUGGUCUGAGAGGAUGAUCAGCCACACUGGAACUGAGACACGGUCCAGACUCCUACGGGAGGCAGCAGUAGGGAAUAUUGGACAAUGGGCGCAAGCCUGAUCCAGCCAUACCGCGUGGGUGAAGAAGGCCUUCGGGUUGUAAAGCCCUUUUGUUGGGAAAGAAAAGCAGCAGGUUAAUACCCCGCUGUUCUGACGGUACCCAAAGAAUAAGCACCGGCUAACUUCGUG
rnacentral:rRNA from 1 species